ACUUAUCAAAGAAAAUGAGUACAUGACACAAUGAAUUAAGAAACCUGCAAAUGCUUGGAAAAGCAAAGCGCAUCUCUAAAACAGGGAUCUCUUUCAGAAAAGAUUGGAAAUGUGUUCUGCCACCAGGGAACCUGAAGCCCCAGCACCUCUGAAGACCAGGAGGCAUUAGACAGUGUCCUCUCUCUGCACAUUCACCUCCAACCCCACAGCAGCCUGAAUUCCUCUCUGAGCCGCAGGACACUUCGAGCUCCAGAAGCCAAUUUCAGCUUCCCUUUAAAUCUGAGACAGAAAACUAUAGAGAACAAUGCUGAUUGGCUCUGCGUUUCUUAAAUGGCAGCUCACGGAGCCAAUCACUGGCGGGAAGGCUGUGGUGUCAUGAAUGGCACACUUGAGUUAGGAGGCCAGUUGGUCUCACCAGUGUUCCCCCUAACUGCACAUAAUGGGAAAGGAAUGGCAGGACCCCAAGGAUGAAGAGAGGUGCUGUGUUGGAAGGAGUUAUACCUUUAUCCAAAACGUCCAACCUCCCAUGAAGUUUUCCUCUUUAAACUUCUCUAAUACUGGGGAGUCAUGGUGAUGAAGAUCUCCCAACUUCUUUAUAAAAGAAUUCCUCCGCCAAGGGAAAAGAUAAGGGUUAUAGAAGAAAAACAAAGACCAAGGAGAUAUGUAUUCUGGACCAAAAGGAUGAUUUUGCAGCCAGAGCUAGCUUUUCAGGCUGAGCAGUUGCUCUGAGAAUGUAUACCCAGCCUUUUCACCCUGCCUGUAGCAUAGCAACAAUCAACCUCAAAUGACAAACCCAUGGAAUGUUCAUAGUAAGGGAGGACCUGCUUCUUGCUGGUCCUGAGUGAAUUGUGGUAAGGAAAAGAAAGGCCAGAGCCAGGAGGUCAAGACAAGCCAGCAGGUGUCCCAUUUUCAAAUGAGGAUAUUCAAGACAGAGGUUCCUGGCCUUCCAAUCUAUAGCAGGUUUUGGAAAGAGGCACUUGACAGGCUGCCCAUAUAUAUCCCAGCACGGACAAAUCCUGGUAAACCUAGCAGCCCAAAGAGCAUGAUUAUCGAAAAGGAAGCCUUGAAAGUCAGCUGCCAUGGGCCACUUUAGGUCUAUGGGACUGAAAACCAGCUGGCCAAAUAAUACCCAUCCUGGAGCCAGGAAAGAAUAAGACUCGGGGAUCUGCCAGCAGCAAAAAGCAGCAAGGAAGUGAUUGUGGCUGUAUUCCAGAGAGAUAUUAUCUGAGCCCACAGAACAGACUACAGCAGCCCCCUCCUCCAAGGUUUCAAUUUCUUUGGCUUCAGUUACCCAUGGUCAGCCAUAUCCAAAACAUUAAAUGCAAAAUUUCA